GACGGAGGAUGCAAGCGUUAUCCGGAAUGAUUGGGCGUAAAGCGUCCGCAGGUGGCAGUUCAAGUCUGCUGUCAAAGACCGGGGCUUAACUUCGGAAAGGCAGUGGAAACUGAACAGCUAGAGUAUGGUAGGGGCAGAGGGAAUUCUUGGUGUAGCGGUGAAAUGCGUAGAGAUCAGGAAGAACAUCGGUGGCGAAGGCGCUCUGCUGGACCAUAACUGACACUCAGGGACGAAAGCUAGGGGAGCGAAUGGG
rnacentral:rRNA from 1 species